CCGGCGACCGGCGCACGGGUGAGUAACGCGUAUGCAACCUGCCCGUUUCAGCGGGAUAACCCGGAGAAAUCCGGCCUAAUACCGCAUGUGGCCGAGGGGAGGCAUCUUCUUUCGGCCAAAGGAGGCAACUCCGGAGACGGAUGGGCAUGCGUGACAUUAGCUUGUUGGCGGGGUAACGGCCCACCAAGGCGACGAUGUCUAGGGGUUCUGAGAGGAAGGUCCCCCGCACUGGUACUGAGACACGGACCAGACUCCUACGGGAGGCAGCAG
rnacentral:rRNA from 1 species